ensembl:lncRNA
CAAUAUAACGAUGAGUUAAUUACAUAGAUAUUACUCACAAGUCCAAACUCCGGUAAAUCAUUGGAAUUAACAGCAGUUACAAGUAAUGUCUUCUCCCGUAUAUAUUUAUUACCAUUUAGAUUAAUCCAUUUAACAGACACUGCAUUGCCAAUGUCAUCAGUUCCAAGGAAAGCCCUUGUCUUUUCUUUCAAAUACGACAAGUUGCGUUUUUCUGAAGUUGGUCCCAACCCACACUCGCUUACAAAAAUUGGGUGUUCAGAAUACAUACAUUUGAUUAUGCCUUAUUAAGGACUUGCAAACGUUGCAAAUCUCAUGCACAUGUGACGGACCAUUGGUCCCAGGAGUUUUAUCUGCGAUGGAGCAUGAAUCAAAUAAUGCAUUUUUGGGAUAAUGUUGUUAUCAGGGAAAAUACUUUUCAUAUGUUUUAAAUGCUGUUCAAUUAGUCUUUUCAACUUGCUAAUUGUCUGUAGACCAAUGACAGGAGCAAACAACAUUUUAACAAUUUCUAUGAGUUCAAGAAUUAUUUUGAAGUACUCAGUAUCUUUAGCUGUAUUAAUAAAAAAAAUGGCAAAAUCUUCAGUAAAACUAUCAAUAAAAAAUGGCAGUAGAACUAUCAUUUGGCCUGGGGAUUGCUUCAAUUUAUUAUCACUUGAAGCUAAUGUGCUGUAAGCUAUAGGGCUUGGUUUGUCUCAGACAUCAAGUGGAGAGUAGGGAAAUCCAGUUAAUGCAGUAUUGAGAACAUCCAAGUCUAAAAGAACUAACUGUUUUAACACACACUUUAUUUCUAAUGGAGCAAUGCCUUCAAGAAUUAUAUGCAUCAAAUCCCGAGGUGUUUGUUCAAUCAAGUUAAAGCCCGGAAAUUCUAUCAGCUUGCUUCUUCUGUUAAUGCCAAAUGUAGUCUUUAAACUGUUUCUAAGAUACUCAGUAUUUGCCUUCUCAAUUUCACUACACUGUCGAACAUGUUUUUCUAGUGUCCUUAGCUCAAAAUUGUCUUCGUCAAAAUACAUUUGCAUGUCCUCAAACGAACAUUCACACUGCCGGCACUUACUAUAGGCGAAACCAACACCCUCUUUAAAUCCACAAAGCUCAUGUUGUGCCAAGGUGUCUCCACAUAUCGAAACCAAUGCUCCAAAUAUUUCACGUUCCCCAUUUGCAGUUUGUUUCCUAAUGUAUAAUAAAACAUUAGUAACUUGGAAGCAUGAGAUCCAAGUGGAUUGCAGAUUUCAAUUUCGUCUGAGUAAAUUAUCUGUAAAGCAGAGGGCCGGGCUGAAAAUAAAGGAUGUGAUUUCAUGAGCUCUCCAUCUAUGAUGUCAUACAGAUAACCACCACUUCUGUAUUUUUGCGGCUGAUCUAUCAUUUCUAAAACUUUUGGAUGGGACAAUAACUGUUCUAUACUUUUAAUCAGAGGUACGUACAGAAAACAUUUGGUUCUUGUGGAGAGGACCCUUUUUGUCCCUUUUUUCUUCAAGCAUGCAGUAUACCCAACAGAAACCUCCUGACUCCACAAAAUUGAAAUUUUCCUUAAUCACGUUGUCCUGCCUCUAUGUUGUUGCAACAGAGGAAAAUGGAUCCUCAAUCCGGUCGAAUAAUGCCAUCGCUUCCUUUUCAAGUUCACUUCCUUGAUGUUGCUGGAAUACAGUUUGUAGCUGACUCCUCAGAUUAGUCACCAACAGGGCUUGAUAUUGUUGCAAAGACAUCCUUCACACCUCUCUGAAAAACAGUCAAGAAAGAAGAGCAAAUUAAACCCAAACAGUCCAGUUUUAAAAUUGUUUAGCACAAAAUCUUUUAUAAAUAAUACAAAUAUUAAUAAGGGCAACAUCAACACAAUGAUGCUUUUCAGCGAACGGCAUUAUUAAAAGUAAAUUCAAAAUAUGCAAUUAUCCUAACUAGAUAGCAGAGAGCAAAUACAAGGCAUUAUUAAAAAUGAAACCUCAUGGAGAUACAAGUUAGGUUGCAGCUAAGGGAGACUAAUUAGGUAACUGUAAACUGACUUGGAUUUGACAUGCAGAUAAUCAACAGAGCCACAGAUGAAAUGAAUGUAAUGUUGUAUGUAGACAAACCUGGUGAGAGUGUUACGCCUUUAAAGAUCCUUAAAAAAAAAGGGGGGAAAAAGAACGUAUAAUAAAACACACUGUUGCCACACACACUGAUGUGCAGUGAUAAAAUAGCAUUUUAUGACAAUCCAGUUGAGAUUUCUUUUUGAAAUGGUGAGACAUAAACAAAAAGAUUGAUAAUAAAGCUUAGCUGUGUACUGAAGGAAACAACAGACUUACCUCUGACUGACAUGCAGAAGAGUCUACAGCAGGACAUGACCCAACAGUCAUUACAUCUUGCACCCUGUUUUCCACCACUGCUUCAUCCGUUUGAUGCUCUCUGAUUUGCACCGUCGCAUCAGCUGGCCUGUCUGUCCACGCAUUCACCGCUGAAGAGGCUUCCGGGCUUGCUGUUGACCUCUCUCAGUGAGUUGCUACUGCCACUUUCAAGGUGUUCGUAGUGGUGUCUCGAUUUGACCCCUCACUACAAAAAAGCAAUGGGUGAGUGGAAGUCAUUCAGUGAGCGUAACACUUUGUCUAUCACUUUGUCCAUCACCUGUUGUAACACUUUCAAAGAAAGUUGAUGUUCUGUUUAAAAAAAAUCACAGUUAGACACAUUUGUUGGUGAGAUUGAAAACCUUUCCUGUGGGAUAAUAUGCUGCAAAGCAGCUGCAACAUGGUGUUUAUUGCUGUAGUAUGCUGCUACAAUAACAGAUUAUUUUUUUUGAUAGUGAGGUUCAAAACUGGCUUUUCAAUCUGUUAUGAUAGCUCUGGAAUGUGGAAGUUGUCCUUCUUUGGAUGUUGAGUUGAGCAAUUGUAUUGCAAAGUUAAUAAAAUUGUUUUAAUGAGAAUGUUUUGGUGUCUUGAUUUAAGACAAUAUCACUUAUAUUUGUUAUGCUGUUUUAAGAAAUUAUGUCUCUUUUGAACUACUUUUAUGCUCAUUAUCAAUCCCAGAUUAAGGUGUCAGUUCUAAAAUUUAAAUUAGUAACAAGACUUAAAUUCUCAUUUUAAGUAACUUAAUCUUAAAUUACUGCUUUUUUUCAUUGCUUGUUUUAGAAGAAUUCGGGUUAAUUUAAGAUUUUCUGUCUAGUUUAAUGUCAUUUUAGUCUUUCAGAGCUAAGAAUUUUGGUCUUAUUUUAAGAAAUCUUGUCAAGCAGAAAAAGCUUACCCCAUUGGCAUUUUGCUUGAUAUAGGAUAAUUUGAUUGAAUAUAAGAAUUUUUUGCUGCUUUUUAGAAGGGCAGUUUUUG